rnacentral:lncRNA from 1 species
GAACCAACCGACGCCGUUCCCGCUGUCGAGCUGGUGGGGGAGGUGGGGUUUCACGGCGGUGUCAUUGAGCCCGGCCUCCUUACCGCCCUUCGGAAGGACCUUCGCCUGGGGCCUGGGGCCGCCGCGGCUCGCGGGACGGGGGCGUUUCCGCGUAGCCUCGGCCGGGAGCGGGCAAGUGGGAGAGAAGGGUCCACAGCGACGAAGGGGCAGGAUGUCGUAACCCCAGGAGGCCUCGUCCGUGGCCAGUGGCGUUUGCUCUUACCAAGCGCUCCACGACCUCGUCGGAGUUUUUGAAGAGGGCGAGCUAAGUUCUUCUUCCCUGAGCCGUGGACAAAACCCCGCCGGAGGCGUGGUGGUUGGUUGUCUCGGCCUGUUGCUGAUCGUUUGGCAGCUCCUUGCUCAGAGCUCUUGUGUAUCUUGGACAAAGCCUGAAGCCUUUGCACUCAACCAACUUUGCCGAAGUCCUUCGGUCUUUAGACCACUGUUCUUACCCCAAGUUUUACACUCGGAGAAAUCAAGGCAGGAGUGAACUUGGCCCUGUAGAGUGACUUCGUGCUUGAUCUGCAUUUUGUAACCAUCAGGUAGACAGUAAAGGUGAAGACUGAGUUCGUUCAAAGUAAAAUGAUGGGGUACAGCGGCAGCGUCAUUAGUUAUCACUGACGAGGCAGCAGUAACGCUUUUAACUUGUCUCCAUUUUCCUCUGCGGCACGUUGUACUUGGAGGAUUGGGGACAUCCGGGAGAGUGAAGAAAAAGUCCCUCAACAUCGAGUUCGGAAAUCGCCAAUUUCCGAUUGGGGCUUAUCAAUCCGCGACACUGUUGAUACGGCCAGUGUGAUCGGGGAAUUUGAAAAAACACAAAGCUUCCCACGCUUUGGUUGGAUGUUAUUCUCCGGCAAAAAUGAUCGUGUUAUAACCUGCAGAAAGCUGAUCUGGAACCACACACUUUGAUGUGUGUGUUUCUCAGGGGUGAGCAAGUUUGUGAGAUGAGGUUCUUGCACGUGAUUUUAACAAAGGUUAUGGUUUGCUCCCUAGAGAAGAAGCAUGUAUGUGUUAGCGGAAGUUUGAGUGGAGAGAGGAAAGACUCUGCCGUGUUAGAGGCAUCAUUCAACUCCAGGAGUUACUGCCUUUACCGUUAGGCCGCAGUGUCCUAAGGUACCUGGGGAGGCUGGCUUGAACUCUUCCUGUCAUUCUGUCUUACUUAUCAUUGGGAUGUUCCUUGCUCGGAGCUCUUGUUUAUCUGGGGCAAAGCCUCAAGGGGUUAUAAGCAAAGAACCCUUGGACACUUGAGUCAAAUCAGAGUACUGUCAGCAGGGAAAGGAGGGCAGCGAUGGGCAGCAUUUUCCGUCAGACUCAUUACCUACGGUCAUCAUUGUAAAAUGGAGAAAAUACUCCUUCCCACUUAAAGGUGACUAUGAGUAUUUGGAGUCGUUUUUUAAAAUGUUUAUCAUGGUUUAACAUACAUAGAAAAGUGCACAGGUCCUAACUGUUUGCUCUCUUGCGCAUCGCAGAGGGAACCUGACCAAGUAAGACACUGCUGCCCGCAAUCCCUGGCACCUCGUGUCAGUUAGAGCCUCCUGGUCCCCCCUCCCCCGCCCCCCCGGGAGCCACUCUCCUGACUGUUAGGGUCAUAGAUCAGUUUUGUUGGCGUUUUGGUAUUAUUAUUUAUUAUUAACAAUUCACAUGUCCCCCCAGCUUUACUGAGGUAUAGUGAGAAACAAAAUGGAAUAUAGCUAUAAAUAUUUUGAUACCUAGACCUGUUGUGCCUUUGAAGGUCAUUAGUGAAGUUUCAGUUAACUUCAGUGGAAAAGAUUGCUUUCCUGAGUCCCUGAAUUAAAUACAUUUAUGCAGGAGUUCCCGUCACCAGUGCUGCAGAAACCACCUAGAAACCAUGAGGUUGAGGGUUUGAUCCCUGGCCUCGCUCAAGUGGGUUAAGGAUCCGGCGUUGCCGUGAGCUGUGGUGUAGGUCGCAGAGGCGGCUCCCAUCUGGUGGUGGUGUAGCUGUGUUGUGGGCUGGUGGCUACAGCUCGGAUUGGACCCCUAGCCUGGGAACCUCUGUAUGCUGUGGGUGCGGCCCUAAAAAACAAACAAACAAAAAUAUACUUAUGCAGAAAUCUUAAGAAACCCCAUUAAAUGAGAUAUAUUCACGUUCUUGUGGAAAUUAGUUAAUCGCAAGUUGACAACUAGCCGGCUGGCUUUUAUUGACCCCUCUGUAACGGGCUUUAUCGUCUGGUUUUCUGCCUGCAUUGUGUUUUUGUGACUCUUGGGUUUCUAAAUCACUCACACACAAUCCUUCCUAAAUUAUUCAGUGUUUAUAAAGUUGAAUCAUUCAAGAGGAAACGGGGGGCGGGGGCAACAGUACAAUCUCAAGAAAUCAUUGGACAGCAUGCAAAGGAGCAGAAGUUAGGUCAGACCAGCCUCAACCAGCAAACCGCAGCCCGAGGAGAACCAGCCCAGGUCGGGAGCCGCCCCCACCGAGCGCAUCCUGCCUGCAGGGGGUGCUACAAGUCCCCGCUGGUCUUGGUGGCUCUGAGGAGCCAAGAUCUGGGCUGAAGGAGAGAGAGCAGCUGGAACCUCAUCCUCCUGAAUCCUGACACCCCGCUGGGCCUCUUUCAAGGCAUGGGUGUAAUUCCUUUCUGUUUCUUUACUCGGUCUGUGAGCCUUUUGUAAUAUUACUAAACAUGCAUACCCUACCACCAUUUUUGAAAACUGCUGGAUGUAUUUCAUGGUGCGAAUUGGCCGUAUAACUUACUCUCCCUUAUUCUGCGCACGUCAGUUGUUUUCUGUUCUUUUGCUGUUCUUCGUAGUGUUACCGGGAGCAUCUUUGUGCAUAAUCUAUACCAGCACCUGAUUCCUUAGAAUAAAGAACUGCACAGUGAAGGAAUUAUUUCCUUUAAAACAGAUCUGUCGGAGUUCUCCUGUGGUGUAUAGGAUCCAGUGUUGUUCCUGCAGCGGCUUAGGUAGCUGCUGUGGGGCAGGUUUGAUCCCUGGCCCAGGAACGCCCAUAUGACGUGGGUGAGGCCAAAAAAUUCAUUACGAAGAUAAUUCAUGUUUAUUGUAGAAAACUUGGAAAAUGUAGUAAAAGUGUAGAGAAGAAAGAAUCACCCAACCAUCCAAAUAAAAUUCCUGCUCACCCGUCAGGGUCUUUCUCUGUAUCUUUUCUCCUGGGCCUGUGUCUGUCGGUCUGCCCACCCAUCCACCCUGUCAUGCACUGGCUGUAUAGUGGUACAGCUUGUGAAUAUGCUU